UAAUGCUGAGAUGACAAUUUCUCCCUGGAGCCUUCAUUUUCUCAUCAUUAGGUGGUCUGCUGCAGAGAACUAGAGGUUCAACUCCUGAUCCAUGGAGACUCACCAGUGCUAAGGGACUUCUGUUCAAUUGGAUCAAACUUGGCUGUAUUGUGGUGCUGAAGAUGCAAGGGAGGAAAGAGGCUGUUUGGGCAGAAAAUGAUGAUCCUUAGCUGCUAACUCUGUCAGCACAAAGAGAGUGGGACUGCAGAUGACCUCCAACACUGAAUAAACCAAAAAGGAUUCAUUUAACGUUUGAGAACAAAUUCUCAGGUUCAGGAGUUCAUAUGCAGAUUUGUUAUGCCAGUAAAUUGUGUAUUACAGGGGUUUGGUGUACAGAUUAUUUCAUCGACCAG
rnacentral:lncRNA from 1 species